UACGUAGGGUGCGAGCGUUACUCGGAAUUACUGGGCGUAAAGCGUGCGCAGGCGGUUCGCCGUGUCCGAUGUGAAAGCCCCGGGCUUAACCUGGGAAUGGCAUUGGAAACUGGCGGGCUUGAGUGUGGCAGAGGGGGGUGGAAUUCCACGUGUAGCAGUGAAAUGCGUAGAGAUGUGGAGGAACACCGAUGGCGAAGGCAGCCCCCUGGGCCAACACUGACGCUCAGGCACGAAAGCGUGGGGAGCAAACAGG
rnacentral:rRNA from 1 species